UGCCCUUGGGUGCACACAUUGCAUGUGUAUAUCUAUGCAUACGUGUCCAAUACCAUUUCCUGGAAGACCACAGCUAUGCCAUGAAGAAUGAGUGACUCACUGCCCCACAGAAGCCCUCGCCAUCUCACAGGCCUGUCUGGAGCUGCCCAGAGCCCAGGUCUCAUGGUGAAGGAUGCUUAGCUCACUGCGAGCCGGCACCCCAGCCCCCGCCCUUAACCAUCUGUUUGGCUUUUGGCCACUGAGAAGAGAAACCUGCUAACUCUCCAGGACUGACUGCCAGGCGGGAGGAAAAGCAGACUCAUUUGCUUCGAUCCCAACGAGAGAAUGAAGGCCAUAAAAGAGAGCUAAAAAAUAAGUAUAACUGGAAACAACCAAAAAGAAGAAAAACAAGACGGAAACCUUCCCUGUGAGUUCAGAGGCUGCUCUAAUGCCCUAUGCUGUUUGUCUCCAGGUCCUGAGGCUCUGAAAGCUCAGGUUGCCCCCAGAAUGGACCAGAUGGCUGAGCUAAAAUGUUCCCUCAACAAAACAUUUAAG